UUUUUUUUUUUUUUUUUUUUUUUUUUUUUUUGUCUUUUUGCCUUUUCUAGGCCACACCUGAGGCACAUGGAUGUUCCCAGGCUCAGGGUCUAAUCGGAGCUUUCGAGAGAGCCACAGCAACUCGGGAUCCGAGCCUCGUCUACGACCUACACCACAGCUCACGGCAACACCGGAUCCUUAACCCACUGAGCAAGGCCAGGGAUGGAACCCGCAACCUCAUGGUUCCUAGUCGGAUUCCAUUAACCACUGCGUCAUGACGGGAACCACAAGAACUGAUUCCUUUUUAUUGUUGAAUAGUAUUCCACUGAAUAGAUAGACUUUUUAUUUAUCCAUUGAACAGUCUACAGACAUUUAGAUUACUUCCAGCUUUUGGCCAUAAACAUAAUGCUGCCAUGAACAUUUGCUUUUGUUUUUGGCCAGGCUUGUGGCAUCCAGAAGUUCCUGGGCCAAGGAUCAAACAUGUGCCACAAUAGCAACCUUAGCCAUAGCAGCGACAACACUGGCUCCUUAACUCCCAGGGAACUCCUUAAAGUCUUUAUGAACAUGUUUCCAUUUCUGUUGGAUAGUAAUAGGAAAAGAAUUGCUGAAUUGUAUCCUAAGUUUAUGUUUAACUGUUUAAGAAACUGCCAAAUUGUUUUCCAAAUUGGCUGCUCAUUUUACAUUUCCAUGUGGGAGGGUUUCAGUUUCUCCAGAUUAUUGCCAGCACUUGCUAUACCUUUUUUUUUUUUUUUUUUUUUGGCCACACCCGUGACACGCAGAAGUUCCCAGGCCAGAUAUCAAACCCAAGCCAUAGUAGUAAUAAGGGCCGCUGCUGUGACAACACCAGGUCCUUAACCUACUCUGCCACAAGAGAACUCUCCCAAUAUUUAUUUUUAUUUUUAAAAAUUUUUAAAUUUUUAAUUAUUAUUAUUAUUUGUCUUUUUAGGGUUGCACCCAAGGCAUAUGGAAGUUCCCAGGCUAGGGGUCAAAUCAGAGCUGCAACUGCUGGCCUGCACCACAGCCACAGCAACGUCAGAUCUGAGCCAUGUCUGCGACACACACCACAGCUCACGGCAACAUUGGAUCCUUAACCCACUGAGUGAGGCCAGAGAUUGAAGCCGCGUCCUCAUGGAUACAGGUUGAGUUUGUUACCCGACUUGUAAGAGGAGUCACAACGGGAACUCCACCAAAUAACUUUUUGGUUAGAGCCAUUUUAAUGGGUCUCUUUAUUGUGUGUUUCAAAUUCAGUGAGGCCCCUCUGUCAGAGAAGCUGUUGUUUUGUGCAGUUCUCAGCUACCUUGCUGAGCAAGGGGGGCGGGGGUGGGGGGUGGGAAUGUAAGCCGCCCCAGGCAAGAAUACCACAGGCUCUCACUGUUCUAACCAGAGUUCAGAAAUUUUUCAUGCAUAAAUGCUUCUCAAUUACUUUUGGUCAAUUUCCAGAGCUGAAAAAAACUGAAAAAGUUUUUUCUAGUUUCAUAAUUGUUUCCUGGGGAGACAAUUUGCUGAUCUCCUCAUGCCACCAGACUACUUUUAGUUGAAGAUUUUUUUCUCUAUAUAUAUUUUCUGUUUCCUCUAAGUUGUUUUCUGUUUGCUCGCCUUGGCCUCUGUGUUUUACAGUGUGAGGUUUUUUUGGAUUUCAAGUUUGUUUGGGGUUUUUUUUGCCUUGUCUGUGCAUUGGUAUCACCUGGAAAGUUUUAAAAAUCCUGGGAUCCAAGCUGUACCCCCAGAACAUUACAUCAGAAUCUCUGGGGGAGGGCCCAGCCAUUUGAGAAUCAAAACAACUUAAUGAGUACCACCCUGGUGGCCAAGUAGGUUAAAGAUGCAGCAUUGUUGCUGCUGUGACUUGGGUCACUGCCUUCACCCAGGUUCAAUUGCUGGCCCAGGAACUUCUGCAUGCUGUGGGAGUGGCCAAAAAAAAAAAAAAAUUAAACGAUAAACCACCGAAGAAAGAUAACUGUCAACAAAUUUUUAAAAGGAAAAGUAAAAUAGAAAUAAGUCUGCACUUAGAAAAAGUUUACACUCCUAUGUAUCUUGUUUACUGUCACACUACUUCCACAUUCACAACAUUUCCUACACCAGAUGUGUGGGAGUUUUCCCCAUGCCAAGCUGGAUGUCCUACAAUUUAACUCAAUUCUGACACCAUCUACCUGAAGAUUAAGGGCGCAAUUCAGUUAAGAUGGACCCCACCUCAAAUGCUCAUCUCAAGUAGUGUAUAUCUAAGUUACCCACAAUUUCUGUCUGACUUGGCUAUAAAUCAGAAGUUCCUAUGUCCUCCUUCCCCUUGAUGCUUACAGAAUUCAAGAAAACACUUACAUGUAUCAGCUUAUUAAAAGAUAUUAUAAAAGAUACUGAUAAAGAGCCAGAUGAAGAGAUAUACAGGGUGAGGUCUGGAAGGGUUCAAGCAGGAUCUGUCUCCAUGCAGUUGGUGCAUCGUCACCCACCCAGUACAUGGAUGGGUUCACUAACCUGGAGACUCUCUGAACCCCGUGCUUUGGGGACUUUUAUAGAAGCAUGAUCAAUCAUUAAUUCCAUUUCCAGCCUUUCCUCGUGUCUGUAGAAUGGGGGAAGGGGGACUGAAACUUCCAAGCAUCCAGUGAUGGCUUGGUCUUUCUGGUAAAGAGCCCCCAUCCAGAGGCCUUCCAUGAGUCAUUUAAUUAGACUGAAACACACUGCCAUCACUCAGGAAAUUCUAAGGGAUUUAGAAACUGUCAGAAACAGGGGUCAAAGACCAAAUAUUAGAACAAAACACGUGUGUAGUGCUCUUAACACUCAAGAAAUUAUAAGGUUUUAAGAACUCUGUGCCAGGAACUGGGGGCAGAGAUGAAUACAUUUUUCUUCUAUUAUCUCACAAUACCAGUGGAGGAGAAGGAAGGUCUCUUGCUUACCGUAGAAAGCUGAGGGCUGACCGACAGUUUCAGUUGCGUACAAGUGUUAGUGAAGCAUAAUUUGGAACCAUAAAGGUAAAGAUUGGGUCAAGGAAGAAUCACCAAUGGAUGCUAACUUUAGGGGGAAUUUUGAGGAACAGGACUUUUUUUUUUUUUUUUUUUUGUCUUUUUGCCACAUAUGGAGGUUCCCAGGCUAGGGGUCAAAUCAGAGCUACAGCUGCCAGCUUACACCAGAGCCACAGCAACUCGGGAUCUGAGCCGCGUCUGUGACCCACACCACAGCUCAUGGCAACGCCAGAUCGUCAACCCACUGAGCAAGGGGCUUGAUCUCUGGCCCAGGAACUUCUGCUUGCUGUGGGUGUGGCCAGAGAAAAUAAUAAAUGUCUAUAAAUAUAAGCUCAUUAAUUUACAGCUGUUAUACAAAUGUAAAACCACAAGAAAUUUAUACGCUACCUAUAAAACAGAAAUAUUUAAAUUAACACUUAAAAAGAACAGCAAAAAGUAUUUCCUGCUGAAAAUAAGUGCUAUUUGACCUGUGAUCUGCUGUCAAUGCCCCGAGGCAGAUGUUUUCGAGUUCAGCAGGCACACGCUCUCUGUGGGGCCAUGGUGCACAUUCUCAGUUCAUUUUUCACCUUUCAGAAGACUUUGAAAUCUUCCAUUGACUGGGGAACUCAGUACUCUCAUGCUUGCCGUCCCC
rnacentral:lncRNA from 1 species